rnacentral:snoRNA from 1 species
UCCCUCCUGAUUACCUUCUUCCUCAAAUCUAAAUAGUGGUCUGAGUGGCUUAAAAAGAAAAGGAGGAAAAGUAAAAUCGAAAUGGACCUGGAGUCGUUAGUGACAAACAAGUUCAUAACAAACAAAC